UACGGAGGGUGCGAGCGUUGUCCGGAAUCAUUGGGCGUAAAGGGCGCGUAGGUGGCCCGGUCAGUUCGUGGUGAAAGCGCGGGGCUCAACCCUGCGUCGGCCAUGAAUACUGCCGCGGCUGGAGCACUGUAGAGGCAGGCGGAAUUCCGGGUGUAGCGGUGGAAUGCGUAGAGAUCCGGAAGAACACCGGGUGGCGAAGGCGGCCUGCUGGGCAGUAGCUGACGCUGAG
rnacentral:rRNA from 1 species